rnacentral:lncRNA from 1 species
GAUAAGCAACCUAUCCCCUGCUAUUCUGUGUGUCUUCUGCUUUGCUCACACCACUGUGUUGAUGCAUUGCAGAUACAAACCCAAGAUCUUGUACAAUUGUACAGUUGAGUCAGUAUCAAAUGUGUAGAAGGGUUCCCACUUUCUGAACCCACACAUUCUUGUCUUAAGCUCUCCCAGGCCAGGGAUAAGAGCUGUGAAGUCUUAUCUUCACUCACCUUUCAUCUGCUUCACCUUAGCCCCUCAAUGGCAAGGUUAAGAGCNNN